CGAUCAGCUGAUUUCACAGAUUGCAACAGCUGUUCAUGGGCUUUUAUCGAUGUGACGAUGUUCACGGUGGAUAUCUUUUUACCGGAAACGAACGUGUGGACAUCUGGCAAUGGCUUAGGAGCGUUUUAAAAAAAAAUGUUUUUAAUAUAGCUGAAAAGAGGAUAUUUAUGAGGCUUUACAGGAGAGAGUGGCAGAGCGGUGAAGUGUGGCUCCCAUUCUCUACUUCGUGGUUGCCCUCCAGUCGUGCAGCCAUGCGGGAGGUGGGCCAACAUAAAAGAGUGUGAUGUAAGAGCUGAAUAAGCUGGGAACUUUCUGAGGCAACACACACGCACUCAUACUACACUCACCUAUAGGUAAGAUGGUAUGACAACUUUUGAUAUUCCUUUUGUAGCUCGUAGACUAGGAUCUGCCUGAGGAACCCCGACUGAGA
rnacentral:lncRNA from 1 species